AGAGUUUGAUCAUGGCUCAGGACGAACGCUGGCGGCGCGCUUAAUACAUGCAAGUCGAACGAGAAGCUCGGAGCUUGCUCCGGGUGGAGAGUGGCGAACGGGUGAGGAACACGUGAGGAACCUGCCCCGAAGACCGGGAUAACACCGGGAAACCGGUGCUAAUACCGGAUGCCCUCGCCGGAUCGCAUGGUCUGGUGAGGAAAUGGAUUCCGCUUCGGGAUGGCCUCGCGGCCUAUCAGCUUGUUGGUGGGGUAACGGCCUACCAAGGCUUCGACGGGUAGCUGGUCUGAGAGGAUGUCCAGCCACACUGGGACUGAGACACGGCCCAGACUCCUACGGGAGGCAGCAGUAGGGAAUCUUGCGCAAUGGGCGAAAGCCUGACGCAGCGACGCCGCGUGCGGGAUGAAGGCCUUCGGGUUGUAAACCGCUUUCAGCAGGGACGAAAAUGACGGUACCUGCAGAAGAAGCCCCGGCCAACUACGUGCCAGCAGCCGCGGUAAUACGUAGGGGGCAAGCGUUGUCCGGAUUUAUUGGGCGUAAAGAGCUCGUAGGCGGUUCCGUAAGUCGGAUGUGAAAUCUCCACGCUCAACGUGGAGGGGCCAUUCGAUACUGCGGUGACUAGAGUCCGGUAGGGGAGUGUGGAAUUCCUGGUGUAGCGGUGAAAUGCGCAGAGAUCAGGAGGAACACCCGUAGCGAAGGCGGCACUCUGGGCCGUGACUGACGCUGAGGAGCGAAAGCGUGGGUAGCGAACAGGAUUAGAUACCCUGGUAGUCCACGCCGUAAACGUU
rnacentral:rRNA from 1 species